ACAAACAGCAAAUGAGUGAAGGCUGUUUACUAUCAAGCCAGUUUUAAUUCAGGAGCAUAGUGGAAAAGUACAGAGUGUAGAAAAAUUGGAUUGAGGAAGGUGAUCCUAGAGAGUAGACAACAUACAGAAGCUGGCAUGACAAGACUGGAAGGGACACUUUGCUGUGAAUAUCUAUAGUUGGUGGCUCAUCGAAACUCUCACAAAGUGUACCAAAAAGUCAAGUACUUUUGUGAUAAAGAAGUUACUGGAGAGUUUUUCAGCCCACAAGAACUGUCAGCAACAGCUUCUUUUGUGAAGGAUUCUCUAGUUGAAAGAGCUGUGCAGAAUGGACGGAGCAGGACAGGAUGAGUAAAGAAGAGAAAUGUGGCAGAAAGAUGUAAAGAAGAGAAAUAUGGACAUGGCUUGGAUUUUGCUGAUUUUGUUCGAUUUUUUAAUUUGAUUAAUAAAGCACAAUAUAUGACUGUAAUUUCUUGUUUGUUGUUGAUAAACAGAUUUUACAAUAUUUCUGUUGGCACGUCUUUAGAUGUAACUCAGAACCUGUCUUUGUAGAAUU